UCGUGUCGUGAGAUGUUGGGUUAAGUCCCGCAACGAGCGCAACCCUCGCCUUUAGUUGCCAUCACGUUUGGGUGGGCACUCUAAAGGAACUGCCGGUGACAAGCCGGAGGAAGGUGGGGAUGACGUCAAGUCCUCAUGGCCCUUAUGUCCUGGGCUACACACGUGCUACAAUGGCGGUGACAGUGGGAAGCCAGGUGGUGACACCGAGCCGAUCUCAAAAAGCCGUCUCAGUUCGGAUUGCACUCUGCAACUCGAGUGCAUGAAGGUGGAAUCGCUAGUAAUCGCGGAUCAGCAUGCCGCGGUGAAUACGUUUCCCGGGA
rnacentral:rRNA from 1 species